rnacentral:rRNA from 1 species
AAAACAAACCUCCUCCUGGAAG